CCAAUACAGUGAGACGUCUAGUUUCUCUCGUUUAUCAGUAUGUUCUACGAUUCUCGUUAUAUUUACGGUGACCAGAAUGUUGAAGUACCGGCCCAUUUGAAUUUUGGAAAAUAUAUAUUGGACCGGCUACGAUUGAUGAAUAAUGAAGUAGCACUGGAAAAUGGAGAUACUCAUGAGAAACUUACCUACAAAGAACUUACUGAUUAUGCAGUCAACCUGUCAAUAUCAUUAGCUACGAUUGGUGUCAAAAAAGGCGACGUAGUUGCCGUGGGUGCUGAAAAACGCUUGGAAUUCGUGCCUACUGUUCUAGCUAUAGUAUUCACGGGCGCAACAUACACCCCUUAUGAUUUAAAAAGUGGCAGAGCGAUAUUGAAACAUAAAUUAAGCAUAACAAAACCAAAGUACUUUAUAUGUAGCAAUUUAUUUUGGAGUUCAUACAAAGAUAUUUUGACGGAGUUUGAUUGCAUAAAGUAUUUUAUAACAUUGGAUGAAGCUACAGACCAGUUACUUUCUGUAAAAUCUUUGAUUUCGUGUAAAAAUAACACGAAUCACUUCGAACCGCCAGCAAUAGUACAAGGUCAAACUGAUGUUGCAUUCAUUCUGUAUUCGUCCGGUACCACGGGCAUGCCAAAAGGAGUUCAAUUAACACAUCUAAACUGUAUUCUCAAUAGUUUACCAAAUGAUUUCAAAGAUCCAUCACUACAUACAGCGUUCGUAUAUGGAGAGUGGUAUCACAAUUAUGAUACAUUCAUGACGUAUAAAUUCUUAUCCGCCGGCAAAAAAGUGGUUUACAUUAACGAACCGACACUAGAAUCAUUUCUAAAAUGUGUAGAUGAAUGCAAGGUUGACGUAGCAUUCUUGGUUCCAUCAAUUGUCGGAUUUUGCUCAAAAGCGGAAGGUGUAGAAAAAUAUAAUUUAAAAUCAUUGAAAAUUAUUUAUUCUCGGUCAUCUCCACUUCAUAGUAAAAUAAUAGAAAUUGUUAAAAAAAGAUUCCCUGGCUUACAAAAUAUCUUACAAGGCUAUGGCAUGACUGAAUGUGGUGAACCUACUUCCGAGAUAUGGGGUAUAAAAGGCCCGAAAUCAGGUAGCGUCGGAAUGGCCUCUCCUGGACUAAUAAUAAAGGUUGUAGAUCCUCAAACAAACAAGAUCCUAGGUCCAAACCAACGCGGUGAGAUUCGGGUAGCGGGAUCAGUUUUUAUGAAAGGCUACAUGGGUAUCGACCCUUCAACGUACUUAGAUGAAGAAAACUUUUUUAAAACUGGCGAUUUCGGAUACUACGAUGAAGACAAAUAUUUCCACAUCGUUGAUAGAUUCAAGGACAUAAUUGUUUACGAUGGCUAUAAGGUUGCUCCUUUAGAAUUAGAGUCAAUAUUAUUGACUCACCCAGGUGUUCGUGAGGCUGCAGUAGUAGGAAAAACAGUGCCAGACUACGGAGAGGAGCCAACAGCAUUUGUUGUGAAACAAUCUAGCACCAGCGUCACUGAUAAAGAAUUAGUCGAUUACGUUGCCAAUGAGGUAGCUCCAUAUAUGCAGCUUAGGGGUGGCGUAAUAUUCCUGGAUGAAAUUCCGCGGAACACGAGAGGGAAAAUUCUACGACGCCAGCUAAGGGAAAUGUUAAAUUAAAUGACAUUUUAUAAGAAUUAUUAAACAACAACACGAUAUAUUGAUGGAUUAUUUAUCAAAUAAAUAGAACUAUCAGUCCCACUGCUAGCAAUAUACCCUAUCAGAUCGACCUCCACGUGAUUCCCCCUGGAAAUCAUCGUGCUGAAUUCCAGGUGUAUUCAUCACGGUGGGCUAACUGACCCGCCGUAUCAUCUUCACCUAUCAUCCCUCACUGAUGCCCCGUCAACGUAUACCGUUAAUGUAGGCGGGGUUACCAUUCUAUUAUCAUCCAUUGAAAAAAAAACCAUUGAAAUUUCUUUGCAGGGCACGAAUUUUUUUUCUCGUAUAAUAUGUAUACUAAUGUACAAUAAAUAUCUAAUCAAUAUUUGAGUUAUAUUAGGAAAUAUUUAAUUAUAUAUAGUGAAUAAAAAUAUUUAA